AGGAAGUGAACUCUAUGAUCAACAAACGACUGAAAGAUGUUCUUUUCACUGACCAGUGGAGCGAGGUCUGCAUGGACGCUCUCAGCCCCUUUGGAUAUGUACUGGCCACAUCUCAGAGGAUGCAGGGAAUGCUGCUGCUGGUCUUCUCCAAGUACUUUCACCUGCCGUUCCUGAGAGGCAUUCAAACACAGAGCACUCGCACCGGCCUCGGCGGGAUCUGGGGAAAUAAAGGAGGCGUCAGCGCUCGCAUGAAUGUGUUCGGCCAUUCGAUCUGUUUCUUGAACUGUCAUCUGC